rnacentral:rRNA from 1 species
AUUGAACGCUGGCGGCAUGCCUUACACAUGCAAGUCGAACGGUAACGCGGGGAAACCUGGCGACGAGUGGCGAACGGGUGAGUAAUGCAUCGGAACGUGCCCAGUAGUGGGGGAUAGCUCGGCGAAAGCCGGAUUAAUACCGCAUACGACCUACGGGUGAAAGCGGGGGACCGCAAGGCCUCGCGCUGUUGGAGCGGCCGAUGUCAGAUUAGGUUGUUGGUGAGGUAAAGGCUCACCAAGCCGACGAUCUGUAGCUGGUCUGAGAGGACGACCAGCCACACUGGGACUGAGACACGGCCCAGACUACUACGGGAGGCAGCAGUGGGGAAUUUUGGACAAUGGGGGCAACCCUGAUCCAGCCAUGCCGCGUGCGGGAAGAAGGCCUUCGGGUUGUAAACCGCUUUUGUCGGGGAAGAAACGCUCUGGAUUAAUACCCUGGGGUAAUGACGGUACCCGAAGAAUAAGCACCGGCUAACUACGUGCCAGCCGCCGCCGUAAAAC